GGCAGUGGUAGCUCAGUGGUAAAGGCAUUGGAGGUCUUAUUGGAAGGUCGUGAGUUCAAAUCCCAGCACUGCCA